rnacentral:rRNA from 1 species
UACGGAGGGGGCUAGCGUUGUUCGGAAUUACUGGGCGUAAAGCGCACGUAGGCGGCUUUGUAAGUUAGAGGUGAAAGCCCAGGGCUUAACCCUGGAAUUGCCUUUAAGACUGCAUCGCUAGAAUCGUGGAGAGGUGAGUGGAAUUCCGAGUGUAGAGGUGAAAUUCGUAGAUAUUCGGAAGAACACCAGUGGCGAAGGCGGCUCACUGGACAUGUAUUGACGCUGAGGUGCGAAAGCGUGGGGAGCAAACAGG